UACGUAGGAUCCAAGCGUUGUCCGGAUUUACUGGGUGUAAAGGGUGCGCAGGCGGGCUUAUAAGUCAGAGGUGAAAUCUCGCUGCUCAACAGCGAAACUGCCUUUGAUACUGUAGGUCUUGAAUUAGGGAGAGAUUCGUGGAAUUCCGAGUGUAGCAGUGAAAUGUGUAGAUAUUCGGAAGAACACCAGAGGCGAAGGCAGCGAAUUGGCCCUAUAUUGACGCUCAGGCACGAAAGCAUGGGGAUCAAACAGG
rnacentral:rRNA from 1 species